rnacentral:lncRNA from 1 species
UAAAAAAAAGUUCUAACCUGUUCUCUGUUUUGCAGAUGCAACCCCCCCCCCUUUCAUGGAGCAGAAGACCACCGAGGUCCACUCGCUUCUUGAUUUUGAAAGCACACCACUAACGGCAUUGCUACAGCUGCAGAGCCACGCCAGUUUACCAUUUCCUUUGCUAUCUGUAUUCCUACGCCAGCCCUGACGUCCUGGGGUUGUCUUCGCUUGAAGAGAAUCAAGCGAAUAAAGGAUCCUCCUGUUUUCAGCUGCGCAGCAGCGAACAUCUAUCAGACAGAUUUGGACAUUUCAAUGGUUUUGAAGUGCCGGCGGCCACACAGACAAACCACCCCCUCUCAACCAAGUCGUUAUUUUCUCAGUUGAAAGAAGAGCCAAUAUUUUGGCAGCUUAUGGAGCUUUUACGGACACACUAAAUGCUUCAGGCAGCAGCCGAGCGUUGCAGCCCUGCUUGGCACAGGACCAGCUUCGAGGUGGGAUCAGGGCAUCCAGCGCUGCAUCCCACCGAGGACAGAGGACGUCUCCCGGAGGCCGGGGAUCCCACGGCCCCGCCAGGCACCAAUCCCCGGCUGACAGCCUUUCUGGCUGUCUAGUUUCUUACGGCCACAGAAAUGCAGUCCAAGGUAAAUUAAGGGAACGUGGUUAUUAGGACUUCUGAAAGAUCCAGUAGUCACCAGCUAAACCAUAUCAUAAAAAGAACCGAUCUAUGCCAACAAAUGAAGUCCCUGAAAAAGCCUGGAAGCAAAAUGGCUAUAAUUAAAACCUGAAAGCAAUGACUUCAUAAAGAAGUAAACGAAGAGGCGGGCUCUUUGUAAAUGAUGAUCUAAAAAAAUGUUCUGGGUUGUGAGACCUCAUUUCAAAUGUAUUCAUUAAAUAAUAUUUGAAUCAUUUAACAGUUUGAACUCUACUGCACUGUUAAUAUCUUCAGGGGAUUUUUUUUUUUUUCCCCCAGCAACAAAGAAGUCUUUGUUCUAUCUCUAUGCUUGGGCUGUGCCUUGGAUAUUAGUUGGAAACCUGAUCGCCUGACAUCGCUAGAAGUCUGUGCGUACAAUGUGAGUCGUCUGCAGCCGGGAUUAAAUCAGGCCUUUUGUACCGAGAUGCUGAGGGGCCAUGUGAUCUUGGAGAAGCGAUGGUUAUGGAUGGCAGGAGAUUUUUAACCCUUUGCGCCUGUGGCAGGGAGCCGGGGGGGUUUGCUGAUGUGAAUGUUUGCAGGGGAGGGGGCUGCACAGGGGCAGCCAGGGCUGCUAUGUGUACCAAUCGUUAGUGAGCCUGAGAAAUUCCUGUCAAAAAA